rnacentral:rRNA from 1 species
AUCAACAGCAAAUGAUGACCCUGCAGUCCAAGACCAAAUACUCACUGAAGCUAAACAGGCCUUAGCCAGGUCAGGACCUGGAUGGGAGACCACAUGGAAAAACUAGCUUGCUGUUGGAA